GAUGAACGCUGGCGGCGUGCCUAAUACAUGCAAGUCGAGCGAACAGACGAGGAGCUUGCUCCUCUGACGUUAGCGGCGGACGGGUGAGUAACACGUGGAUAACCUACCUAUAAGACUGGGAUAACUUCGGGAAACCGGAGCUAAUACCGGAUAAUAUAUUGAACCGCAUGGUUCAAUAGUGAAAGACGGUUUUGCUGUCACUUAUAGAUGGAUCCGCGCCGCAUUAGCUAGUUGGUAAGGUAACGGCUUACCAAGGCAACGAUGCGUAGCCGACCUGAGAGGGUGAACCGCCAAAAUGGGACUGAGACACGGUCCAGACUCCUACGGGAGGCAGCAGUAGGGAAUUUUCCCCAAUGGGGGAAAGCCUGACCGAGCAACGCCGCGUGAGGGAAGAAGGUCUUCGGGUUGUAAAACUCUGUUAUUAGGGAAGAACAAAUGUGUAAGUAACUAUGCACGUCUUGACGGUACCUAAUCAGAAAGCCACGGCUAACUACGUG
rnacentral:rRNA from 1 species